AGAGUGCUAUUGCGACUUGCGACUUUCUACUUUAUUUACGUGUAGUGGUUUUAACUACAGCUAUUUCUUGAUUCUUCGUUAGAGUAAUAGAUAUCCAAUUAAUAUUUCAUGAUUAAGUUUAUGUUUUAAAAUGUUGUAUCGUUACUGUAACUAAAGUAGAAACACAAUGGAAACUACGCCACUUAUAAAUCGACCUAAAAAGAAAUCUUUAUGGUCAAGGAAAAGCUUUGGUUGGUUUAAAGGGAAAGAACUCAACUCAAGAGUGAUAUAUUUAGGUCAGAUUCCUGAUGAAGAAUAUCCAGCAAACUAUGUAUGCAAUCAGAAAUACAGUAUAUUUACAUUCCUGCCCUUAGUUUUGUUUGAGCAGUUUAGGUUUUUCUUAAAUUUGUACUUCUUGGUUAUGGCCCUCAGUCAAUUUAUACCAAGCACUCGCAUUGGAUAUCUCUAUACGUACUGGGGACCACUUGGGUUUGUUCUUGCAGUCACACUAUUUAGAGAAGCUAUAGAUGAUUACAGAAGAUACAGACGGGACAAAGAAGUGAAUAGACAGAGAUAUGAACGUAUAGUGCUAGACACACCCAAUGAUGGCUACAAACCCUUUAUUACCGAACAUGUCUCAGCCUCUGCAUUGCGUGUUGGUGAUAUUGUUAUGUUGCACAAGGGACAGAGAGUACCUGCUGAUAUGAUAUUGUUAAGAACGAAUGAAACUAUGGGCACUGUAUUUAUACGAACAGACCAAUUGGACGGGGAGAUUGAUUGGAAACUAAGAAUUCCAUUACCAUCUACGCAAAAAUUGCCCACCGACGCGCAUUUACUAGAUAUAAAUGCUAAGAUAUUUAUUGAGAAACCAGAGAAAGACAUACACUCAUUCAUAGGCACCUGUACAAGAUUGGAUGAAGAAGAGACUGACUCUUUGGAUAUCGAGAAUACUUUAUGGAGUGGGUGUGUUGUCGCAUCUGGACAGGCCACUGGACUUGUUAUAUACACAGGAAGUGAAACCCGCAGCGUGAUGAACAACGCUGUACCUCGCUCCAAAGUUGGAAGGCUGGAACUGAGAGUUAAUGAUUUCACUAAAGUCUUAUUUGGGGCGACAUUUUUGACCUCUUUUCUUCUUAUCGCUCUGAAGGGCUUCGAUGGACCAUGGUAUGGGUUCCUGUUUAGAUUUGUGCUGCUGUUUUCUUAUAUAAUACCUAUCAGUUUAAGAGUCAACCUGGAAAUGGGUAAAGUUUUCUACUCGUGGACGAUUCAGAGGGACAAGAAAAUAAGUGGUACAGUUAUGCGGUCCACGACCAUACCGGAAGAGUUAGGGAGAAUACAGUAUCUUCUAGCGGAUAAGACUGGUACAUUGACAAAGAAUGAGAUGGUCUUUCAGAAGUUACACCUCGGUAAUGCUCUAUUCGACAAGGAUAAUUUUCAUGAGGUGGAAGCACUUUUAACCCAACAUGUGACAAAAGAUUGUCCCUCCAUAGCGUCCACCCCAAAUGGGGAUGGUUCAUUACUUUCUCCCACUCCGAGACAGGUGUGGGAGACUGUCCUGGCUUUGGCGCUGUGCCAUAACGUAACACCAGUGUAUGAAGUAGAUGACCAGACUGACGAAGGGCAAUCUGAUAUGGGUAGUUCAGUCAUGUCCGAAAGUUGCGGCGGGGCGGUACCUCAGCAGCAGCUCUGUGACUACCAGGCAGCCAGUCCGGAUGAAGUGGCCUUGGUGAAGUGGACCGAUAUGAUGGGAGUAUCCUUGUACCGUCGCGACCUCCACAACAUAUCUCUGAAGCUUCGCGCGGCCAACGAGAUCAUGUCAUUUACCAUACUCCAGGUGUUCCCCUUUACCAGCGAGUCCAAGAUGAUGGGAAUCAUUGUGCAGGAAGAAGUGUCUGGUGAGAUAACUUACUAUGUGAAGGGGGCAGAUGUGGCUCUGUCCAAGCUAUUGCAGUCUUCCUGGCUUGCCACGGAAUGCAGUAAGCUUGCUGCUGAUGGGCUCCGAACCUUGGUCGUCGCUAAACGGACUCUAACUAAGAACGAGUAUUUGGAGUUCGAGAGUGAAUACAAAGAAGCCCGUCUUACCGUAUUGAAUCGUAACGAACGUACGGCCGCGGCUUUAUCCCGCUUGCAUCGGGGCCUAACUCUUUUGGGAUUAACGGGUGUUGAAGACCGCUUAGCUGAUGACGUUCCAAGGACAUUGGCCAUGCUGAGAACGGCUGGGAUUAAGAUCUGGAUGCUAACGGGUGACAAACUAGAAACAGCACUAUGUAUCGCUCGAUCCCUUCACCUGGGUGGAGGCUCUCGAUGGAUGACGGCUACCGAGUGUCGCUCAAGAACGGAUGCUCAUCGUCUGCUUACAGCACUGCGAAGUGCUCAUGACACAGAUCUGAUACUGGAAGGGGAGACGUUGGAGGUUUGUCUUCGUUCUUACGAAGAGGAGUUUGUAGAGGUACUUCGUGAGUGUUCCGGGGUGGUCGUGGCUCGUUGUUCUCCUACGCAGAAGGCCCAAGUUGUUCGCUUGUUACGGGCCAGGGGGCUGAUUGUAGCCGCUGUGGGGGACGGUGGGAAUGACGUUGCCAUGAUUCAGGAGGCUGAUAUGGGUGUGGGUAUAGAGGGUGCUGAAGGCCGGGCAGCGUCUCUCGCAGGUGAUGUCAGCAUCCGUUGCUUUUCUUUCCUGGCAAGAUUACUCUUGGUUCACGGACGCCGAUCCGUCAUGCGUUCUGCGGCACUUUGCCUGUUUAUUGUACACAGGGGACUGAUUGUAUCAACUAUGCAGGCUGUGUUCUCCGUCGUUUUCUACUUCUCGUCAGUAUCACUAUAUCCUGGGUUUUUAAUGGUUGGCUACGGAACGGUGUUCACGAUGUUACCUGUUUUUUCGCUUGUCCUCGACAAAGACAUAUCUAGUGCGACGGCACUGCGUUAUCCACAACUCUACAAACAGUUGACAAAAGGACGGCAGCUCUCUUACAAGACUUUCUAUAUAUGGAUUGGAAUAUCUAUAUAUCAAGGCGGCGUGAUAAUGUAUGGCGCCCUAGUGCUUUUCGAAGACCAGCUCAUUCACAUAGUGGAGAUCAGCUAUACGGCCUUGAUCCUUACGGAGCUGAUUAUGGUGGCGCUGACUGUCACUACAUGGCACCACCUCAUGAUGGUAGCGGAACUGGUCAGCCUUCUCAUGUAUACUGCCACUCUGCUUAUUUUUACUACCUACUUCGAUGGUGACUUCAUUCGACAUUGGGAAUUCUGGUGGAAAGUGACAACUAUCACGUUGGUUUCGUGUCUGCCACUCUACAUCGUCAAAUAUAUGCACAGGAAGUGGCGUAUGCGUCAGUACAAAAAUAUACACAAGUAAUUUAUUAUACAAGACAACACUACAAAUGAGUGUAACUACGCUUCAGAAGUCAUAUCUCAAUGAAGUUUAACUCAGCGAAAUUUAGCAGUCAGUGAGGCACUGAAAUUCUACAAAUUCAGUGCUUAUGCGUAAUGCGUCGUAAUUUUUUAUUUAAAUUGAGUUUUUGUUUAUAUUGAGUUGAGUUACGUUUUGCUAUUAAAUAUACCUUUUUGAUCGAGAAAAUAUUCCAUUUGGAGUAGAGAACGUAAUAGUUCAUGGUAUUUUGUCUAUGCCAGUUAAUUGAUAAUAUUGUUAAUAUAUAUAAAAUUAAAACUGUAUACUAUAAAAAUUAUUACGGAAACUACCAAACCAAAUUAAAUAAAUUAUUACGCUCUCAAGUAAAAAGGUUUAACUAGAUCACUCAUCCGUCUCCUGUCACCACAAGUUGACAGAUGACAAUGGUCAAUAGUCCUAGUGUAAUAAGAGUUUUUAUGAAUAUGCUUAAAAUUAAAAUUGUAUAGAUUCUUUUGCACAAGUGUAUUUUUUAUAGCACAGCAAUUAUUUAUUCACUCUUCGCUAUCUGAUAUAACUCUGUUAGCCAUCGCGCUUAUUCAAAACAUAUAAUUCGUUUAUUAAAUAUAUUGUAUGAUUGCUCAGACCACUAUAUGGCUGAUUGCUUCUGAUACAAGCAUACAUUUUAAAAUAUUUAAAUGAUAAAAGAGAUUUUGUGUUUUCCUUAAACCGUACUACGUCCAUAUCGGACGUUUUCUGUAACCCAAUAACGCUCACAAACUAUGCUUUAAUCACUUCCUAUAUAAGUAAUUGAAUUAUUAUAUUACUUUAUUCGUUUUUAAGAUACGUUUUAUAGUUAAACAUAUUCCGUGUGUAUUUUAUAUGAAUUAUGCAACAAUGUUCAUAUUCUGGCACUAUCUCAAACUAAUCUCCAGGAUAAACAAAGUUGAAAAAGUUAAGAGAUUUGAGAUUAAUAGUCUAUUUCUUCAGUGCUGCCUAUGCCUUAGCUAAUUUUGUAUUAGUAUUUGUUUAUUAGUAUUAUCAUUGAAUGGUAAUUUUUAUAAUUCCAUAUUUAAAUUCCAUUAAAAUUAGGUAAAAUCCUCAUAUAUUAUAUUAGUUUAAACUUUUUAAAGUUUUAAAUCAUUUUAUUUUUUAUAGUUUUUUUAAUCAUAUAAUUUAUAAAGAUGUUACCAUUUUGUCAAUUUAGAGUUUAUGAAGAAUUUGGUAGCUCAGUUUACUAUGUGUUCAAAAUAGAAGUAUUUCGUCCAAGCCGUUAAUAUUUAUGAUUUACGAGGCAUGAAAUUAAAAAUUACUGUGAUUAAUAAUGUAAGAAAUAAAGAUAAGCUAGAAAAAUAAAGAUGGUUAUGGUCCAUUGACUUUUAAGAUUAUGGUACAGUAGAGUGACGUAACGCCCGCGCUCUUUCAGUGAAUUUAUAUAUGUAUUCAUAAUUGUAUGGAAGUGACGCGAAAGUCCUAUUGUAUAUUAAAAUUGUAUAUUAUGCGGUACAAAAAAUUAUGUGAUACGUUUGUUUAUUUAAAAUUAAAAAGUAUUCAUCGCACGCUGUUAGCUGAACUCAAAGACGAGGUUUUUACUUUGGAAGAGGCGCUGGCAUGUUUUGCACGGUCCAUAGUAUAGAAUAUAUUUUUGUGUGGCGGAAGCAUGGCUGGAAUGUUUGAGU